CCUACGGGAGGCAGCAGUAAGGAAUAUUGGUCAAUGGACGAAAGUCUGAACCAGCCAUGCCGCGUGAAGGAUGAAGGCCCUCUGGGUUGUAAACUUCUUUUAUCUGGGACGAAAAAAGCUCAUUCUUGAGCACUUGACGGUACCAGAGGAAUAAGCACCGGCUAACUCCGUGCCAGCAGCCGCGGUAAUACGGAGGGUGCAAGCGUUAUCCGGAUUCACUGGGUUUAAAGGGUGCGUAGGUGGGUUUGUAAGUCAGUGGUGAAAUCUCCGAGCUUAACUCGGAAACUGCCAUUGAUACUAUAGAUCUUGAAUCAUCUGGAGGUAAGCGGAAUAUGUCAUGUAGCGGUGAAAUGCUUAGAUAUGACAUAGAACACCAAUUGCGAAGGCAGCUUACUACGGGUGCAUUGACACUGAGGCACGAAAGCGUGGGGAUCAAACAGGAUUAGAUACCCUGGUAGUCCACGCCCUAAACGAUGGAUACUCGACAUCAGCGAUACACUGUUGGUGUCUGNGNGAAGAGAUAGUAUCCUACCGUGGUUAGUUACGACGCGAGUAGAAGACGAGAGUUAGAGNGNGAGAGNGCGAGCGACGACGAGGAGGAGG
rnacentral:rRNA from 1 species